UUUGACCGAGCCGAGCCAGGCUGGUUGGUCCUCACGGCCUUGGCCGUAGGUGGCCAGCAGUGCCUGCGCCUC
rnacentral:antisense_RNA from 1 species